rnacentral:rRNA from 1 species
GGGUCAGUAGGUUGGUCGUGCCACCGGUACGUACUGGUCUCACUGAUUCCUCCUUCCUGAUGAACCGUAAUGCCAUUAAUUUGGUGUUGCGGGGAAACAGGACUGUUACUUUGAAAAAAUUAGAGUGUUUAAAGCAAGCUAACGCUUGAAUACAUUAGCAUGGAAUAAUGAAAUAGGACUAUCGAUCCUAAUUUGUUGGUUUCUAGGAUUGACGUA